rnacentral:rRNA from 1 species
UACAGAGACUGCAAGCGUUAUUCGGAUUCAUUGGGCGUAAAGGGUGCGUAGGUGGCGCCGUAAGUCGGGUGUGAAAUUUCGGAGCUUAACUCCGAAACUGCAUUCGAUACUGCGGUGCUUGAGGACUGGAGAGGAGACUGGAAUUCAUGGUGUAGCAGUGAAAUGCGUAGAGAUCAUGAGGAAGACCAGUGGCGAAGGCGGGUCUCUGGACAGUUCCUGACACUGAGACACGAAGGCCAGGGGAGCAAACGGG